ACCUAUUAAGUGUUUGUAUUUCUUCUAAGAUUCUCUUUUCAUAUUAUUUGCCCAUUUUUUUCUUACUGAGUUGUCAUUUUCUUACUGAAUUGUUGAAGCUCUUUUUAUAGGAUAGUGUCAUUAACUCUGUUUUCUUCUGAUGUGUAUUUGAUUUUAAUUUUGUUCAUGGUUUCUUUAGCCCUACAGAAGUGUUUAGUCUUCAUGCAUUUAACUCCACCAGUCUUGUAUGUGUGUUUGUGUGUGUAUAUGUGGAUGUGGCAUCUGAGUUUUGUGCCGCACUUUGAAAGUUCUGGGGGUGCUUUGCUGGUACCUCCAAAUGCUGCUUGUGAGAAAUAAAACAGCUGCUGCUGUUUCUUUUCUAAAAAGCUGCUGUGAGAUGUUCAUUAGUUCAUGUGUGAAAAACUGCCUUCCUGCCAGCUCGUGGGUAUAUACCACAUGCAUUCCUGCCCCCAGACAUUUCUUUCAGGCCAUUUCCGUUCCCUGCAACACCCUUUCCCUCCUGGCAGCUCCUGGCCUGCUGGUCCUGCCCUUCCACACAGAGCACUUCCCUUUUCCCAGCCCCUGGGUCCCAUCAGCCCCAGGCCAGCUCUGAAGCCAGUGAGACUGCACUGGUUCUGCCCUGCCCACACCUGGGUAUGAAUCCUUCUGUCUGUCUAGGGUCAGAGGGGGAGCAAGCUUGUGACAAAACUGGGGGUAGGGGUUGAGGAGGUCCGUUCCUGACCACAUGUCCCUGCCGUCUUCCUGGAAGGCCUUUGAUACCACAGUGGCUCUGCUGAGUGACUUGUGGCUGGCACACGUGGCCAUUGCUCUAGGAGUCCUUGAGAGCUGGCCAUGAUGAGUAGAUGGCCAGGCUCAGCAUCAGGCUGGGGUCAGGAACUUGUGGGGCAUAAUUCAGAGGCAGUAGGGGGAGUUUCAUGGGACUCUGACCAGGGAUCGGCCGGAAGGGGCCUGACGCUCACAUAGGGGCAGAGGCCUGGGGGAGCUUAGGCCUCCUGGGCCAGGCAGGGUUCCCUUAGUGCUCAGCACUCUGAUCUUGGACUUUGCGGCUGCCUGGCCCUGGAUGACCCUUAGAAAAGGCAGCAGGACCAAGCCGCCUGCUCCCUGCUGGGCUCAGGUGGGAUGUGUCCUCUCAUGGCCUGAGCCCCAUGGAAGGUCCAGUGACCGGGGUCCAGCUCUCCCUCUGCCCCAGAUCCACUGGGUGACCUCAGUCCCUGUCCCUAUUGA
ensembl:lncRNA